rnacentral:pre_miRNA from 1 species
UCUUAUGGAUGACCAAGAAAGUGGUUCUUGAGAUGGAAUCUACUCCUGAUGCAGGUGCUGUGAA